rnacentral:rRNA from 1 species
GAUGAACGCUGGCGGCGUGCCUAAUACAUGCAAGUCGAGCGAACAGACGAGGAGCUUGCUCCUCUGACGUUAGCGGCGGACGGGUGAGUAACACGUGGAUAACCUCCCUAUAAGACUGGGAUAACUUCGGGAAACCGGAGCUAAUACCGGAUAAUAUAUUGAACCGCAUGGUUCAAUAUUGAAAGACGGUUUUGCUGUCACUUAUAGAUGGAUCCGCGCCGCAUUAGCUAGUUGGUAAGGUAACGGCUUACCAAGGCGACGAUGCGUAGCCGACCUGAGAGGGUGAUCGGCCACACUGGAACUGAGACACGGUCCAGACUCCUACGGGAGGCAGCAGUAGGGAAUCUUCCGCAAUGGGCGAAAGCCUGACGGAGCAACGCCGCGUGAGUGAUGAAGGUCUUCGGAUCGUAAAACUCUGUUAUUAGGGAAGAACAAAUGUGUAAGUAACUAUGCACGUCUUGACGGUACCUAAUCAGAAAGCCACGGCUAACUACGUG